rnacentral:rRNA from 1 species
ACGAACGCUGGCGGCGUGCUUAACACAUGCAAGUCAAGGGGAAAGCCUGCUUCGGUGGGUAAGUAUACUGGCGGACGGGUGAGUAACGCGUAGGUAAUCUACCCUUAUGUUUGGGAUAACCUUGCGAAGCGGGGCUAAUACCGGAUGUGGUUCAGAUAAUUCCUGUUAUUUGGAUUAAAGCUGCUUGGGGUGACUCAGGUAGCGCAUAAGGAUGGGCCUGCGUUCCAUUAGCUAGUUGGUGGGGUAAAGGCCUACCAAGGCGACGAUGGAUAGCUGGUCUGAGAGGACGAUCAGCCACACUGGGACUGAGAUACGGCCCAGACUCCUACGGGAGGCAGCAGUGGGGAAUAUUGCGCAAUGCCCGCAAGGGUGACGCAGCGACGCCGCGUGGGUGAAGAAGCUCUACGGAGUGUAAAUCCCUGUCAGAGGGGAAGAACGGGUCAUAUUCGUAAGGGUCUGGCUGUGACGGUACCCUCAGAGGAAGCUCCGGCUAACUCCGUG